UACGGGAAACCGGAGCUAAUACCGGAUAAUAUAUUGAACCGCAUGGUUCAAUAGUGAAAGACGGUUUUGCUGUCACUUAUAGAUGGAUCCGCGCCGCAUUAGCUAGUUGGUAAGGUAACGGCUUACCAAGGCGACGAUGCGUAGCCGACCUGAGAGGGUGAUCGGCCACACCGGAACUGAGACACGGUCCAG
rnacentral:rRNA from 1 species